rnacentral:rRNA from 1 species
CCUACGGGUGGCAGCAGUGGGGAAUAUUGCACAAUGGCGGAAACGCUGAUGCAGCGACGCCGCGUGAGUGAAGAAGUAAUUCGUUACGUAAAGCUCUAUCAGCAGGGGAGAAAAUAACGGUACCUGAGUAAGAAGCCCCGGCUAACUACGUGCCAGCAGCCGCGGUAAUACGUCGGGGGCAAGCGUUAUCCGGAUUUACUGGGUGUAAAGGGGGCGUAGACGGUGCGCCAAGUCUGGAGUUAAAUGCCGCAGCCUAAAUGCGGACCUGCUUUGGAAACUGGCGAACUAGAGUGCGGGAGGGGUAAGCGGAAUUCCUAGUGUAGCGGUGAAAUGCAUAGAUAUUAGGCGGAACACCGGUGGCGAAGGCGGCGUACUGGCCCCCAACUGACGUUGAGGCUCGAAAGCGUGGGGAGCAAACAGGAUUAGAUACCCCAGUAGUC